rnacentral:rRNA from 1 species
AUUGAACGCUGGCGGCAUGCCUUACACAUGCAAGUCGAACGGCAGCACGGGAGCAAUCCUGGUGGCGAGUGGCGAACGGGUGAGUAAUAUAUCGGAACGUGCCCAGUCGUGGGGGAUAACGUAGCGAAAGCUACGCUAAUACCGCAUACGAUCUAUGGAUGAAAGCGGGGGAUCGCAAGACCUCGCGCGAUUGGAGCGGCCGAUAUCAGAUUAGGUAGUUGGUGAGGUAAAGGCUCACCAAGCCGACGAUCUGUAGCUGGUCUGAGAGGACGACCAGCCACACUGGGACUGAGACACGGCCCAGACUCCUACGGGAGGCAGCAGUGGGGAAUUUUGGACAAUGGGCGAAAGCCUGAUCCAGCAAUGCCGCGUGAGUGAUGAAGGCC